rnacentral:rRNA from 1 species
GGGUUGUGAGGUUAAGCGACUAAGCGUACACGGUGGAUGCCCUGGCAGUCAGAGGCGAUGAAGGGCGUGCUAAUCUGCGAUAAGCGCCGGUAAGGUGAUAUGAACCGUUAUAACCGGCGAUACCCGAAUGGGGAAACCCAGUGUGAUUCGUCACACUAUCAUUAACUGAAUCCAUAGGUUAAUGAGGCGAACCGGGGGAACUGAAACAUCUAAGUACCCCGAGGAAAAGAAAUCAACCGAGAUUCCCCCAGUAGCGGCGAGCGAACGGGGAGGAGCCCAGAGCCUGAAUCAGCAUGUGUGUUAGUGGAAGCGUCUGGAAAGGCGCGCGAUACAGGGUGACAGCCCCGUACACAAAAGCGCAUGUGCUGUGAGCUCGAUGAGUAGGGCGGGACACGUGGUAUCCUGUCUGAAUAUGGGGGGACCAUCCUCCAAGGCUAAAUACUCCUGACUGACCGAUAGUGAACCAGUACCGUGAGGGAAAGGCGAAAAGAACCCCGGCGAGGGGAGUGAAAAAGAACCUGAAACCGUGUACGUACAAGCAGUGGGAGCACAGGCUUUAAGUGUGACUGCGUAUAGACCCGAAACCCGGUGAUCUAGCCAUGGGCAGGUUGAAGGUUGGGUAACACUAACUGGAGGACCGAACCGACUAAUGUUGAAAAAUUAGCGGAUGACCUGUGGCUGGGGGUGAAAGGCCAAUCAAACCGGGAGAUAGCUGGUUCUCCCCGAAAGCUAUUUAGGUAGCGCCUCGUGAAUUCAUCUCCGGGGGUAGAGCACUGUUUCGGCUAGGGGGCCAUCCCGGCUUACCAACCCGAUGCAAACUGCGAAUACCGGAGAAUGUUAUCACGGGAGACACACGGCGGGUGCUAACGUCCGUCGUGAAGAGGGAAACAACCCAGACCGCCAGCUAAGGUCCCAAAGUCAUGGUUAAGUGGGAAACGAUGUGGGAAGGCCCAGACAGCCAGGAUGUUGGCUUAGAAGCAGCCAUCAUUUAAAGAAAGCGUAAUAGCUCACUGGUCGAGUCGGCCUGCGCGGAAGAUGUAACGGGGCUAAACCAUGCACCGAAGCUGCGGCAGCGACACUGUGUGUUGUUGGGUAGGGGAGCGUUCUGUAAGCCUGCGAAGGUGGCCUGUGAGGGUUGCUGGAGGUAUCAGAAGUGCGAAUGCUGACAUAAGUAACGAUAAAGCGGGUGAAAAGCCCGCUCGCCGGAAGACCAAGGGUUCCUGUCCAACGUUAAUCGGGGCAGGGUGAGUCGACCCCUAAGGCGAGGCCGAAAGGCGUAGUCGAUGGGAAACGGGUUAAUAUUCCCGUACUUGGUGUUACUGCGAAGGGGGGACGGAGAAGGCUAUGUUGGCCGGGCGACGGUUGUCCCGGUUUAAGCGUGUAGGUGUGUGUUCCAGGUAAAUCCGGUUCACUUUAACACUGAGGCGUGACGACGAGGCACUACGGUGCUGAAGCAACAAAUGCCCUGCUUCCAGGAAAAGCCUCUAAGCAUCAGGUAACAUCAAAUCGUACCCCAAACCGACACAGGUGGUCAGGUAGAGAAUACCAAGGCGCUUGAGAGAACUCGGGUGAAGGAACUAGGCAAAAUGGUGCCGUAACUUCGGGAGAAGGCACGCUGACACGUAGGUGAAGUGAUUUACUCAUGGAGCUGAAGUCAGUCGAAGAUACCAGCUGGCUGCAACUGUUUAUUAAAAACACAGCACUGUGCAAACACGAAAGUGGACGUAUACGGUGUGACGCCUGCCCGGUGCCGGAAGGUUAAUUGAUGGGGUCAGCGCAAGCGAAGCUCCUGAUCGAAGCCCCGGUAAACGGCGGCCGUAACUAUAACGGUCCUAAGGUAGCGAAAUUCCUUGUCGGGUAAGUUCCGACCUGCACGAAUGGCGUAAUGAUGGCCAGGCUGUCUCCACCCGAGACUCAGUGAAAUUGAACUCGCUGUGAAGAUGCAGUGUACCCGCGGCAAGACGGAAAGACCCCGUGAACCUUUACUAUAGCUUGACACUGAACAUUGAGCCUUGAUGUGUAGGAUAGGUGGGAGGCUUUGAAGUGUGGACGCCAGUCUGCAUGGAGCCGACCUUGAAAUACCACCCUUUAAUGUUUGAUGUUCUAACGUGGACCCGUUACCCGGGUUGCGGACAGUGUCUGGUGGGUAGUUUGACUGGGGCGGUCUCCUCCUAAAGAGUAACGGAGGAGCACGAAGGUUGGCUAAUCCUGGUCGGACAUCAGGAGGUUAGUGCAAUGGCAUAAGCCAGCUUGACUGCGAGCGUGACGGCGCGAGCAGGUGCGAAAGCAGGUCAUAGUGAUCCGGUGGUUCUGAAUGGAAGGGCCAUCGCUCAACGGAUAAAAGGUACUCCGGGGAUAACAGGCUGAUACCGCCCAAGAGUUCAUAUCGACGGCGGUGUUUGGCACCUCGAUGUCGGCUCAUCACAUCCUGGGGCUGAAGUAGGUCCCAAGGGUAUGGCUGUUCGCCAUUUAAAGUGGUACGCGAGCUGGGUUUAGAACGUCGUGAGACAGUUCGGUCCCUAUCUGCCGUGGGCGCUGGAGAACUGAGGGGGGCUGCUCCUAGUACGAGAGGACCGGAGUGGACGCAUCACUGGUGUUCGGGUUGUCAUGCCAAUGGCACUGCCCGGUAGCUAAAUGCGGAAGAGAUAAGUGCUGAAAGCAUCUAAGCACGAAACUUGCCCCGAGAUGAGUUCUCCCUGAGACUUAGAGUCUCCUGAAGGAACGUUGAAGACGACGACGUUGAUAGGCCGGGUGUGUAAGCGCAGCGAUGCGUUGAGCUAACCGGUACUAAUGAACCGUGAGGCUUAACCUUACAACGCCGAAG